CUCGUCUCUGUGUUUAUCCGGUUGAGGACUGAAGACUGGCAGAUGCUGUAUGGAAGAAGAGGAUGGUUCUCGUUCAUUCUCGAAGAAGACCAAAAUGGCAUCAGUAUACUAGAGUCACAUUACAGCGCACUGGACCGUGGCUGAUCAGACCAAUGCGAGCUCAGAAUGCUCUAUCACAGGUUUAUCUACAUGCUGAUCUGGAAGCAAGUUGUUGACCGAGCUCCCAUACAGCUCUGGUGGGGUACUGUUGAGUGGAGUCUCCAAAAAUGGGCUUGGAGACAGAAUGGCAAUCAAAGAUUUGAUAGCAGUGGGAAGGAAUUCUCUAAAUUCAAACUGGAUAAUUGGAUCUGUAAAAAAGCAGCCAAAAAGAACAAACAAUCUUACCCUGGGGCUUUUGCCGAAUUAUAUUUGUCAAUACAAAAUUUAUAUAUAUGAAUAUAAAUUUAUAUACAAAACUAUAUAUAUCAUA